UGAGAUGUUGGGUUAAGUCCCGUAACGAGCGCAACCCUUGUCCUUAGUUACCAGCACGUAAUGGUGGGCACUCUAAGGAGACUGCCGGUGACAAACCGGAGGAAGGUGGGGAUGACGUCAAGUCAUCAUGGCCCUUACGGCCUGGGCUACACACGUGCUACAAUGGUCGGUACAGAGGGUUGCCAAGCCGCGAGGUGGAGCUAAUCCCAGAAAACCGAUCGUAGUCCGGAUCGCAGUCUGCAACUCGACUGCGUGAAGUCGGAAUCG
rnacentral:rRNA from 1 species